UACCUACUGGUGAGGACAUCUGUGCUCAGGACAACUGCUCUGGUUCAUAUCUGUUCUGCUCCACAUGUUCUUCCAUAUUUCCAAUUUCAUUGUAAAGAACACACUUAAAGUUGAGGUGGGAGUGAGUGGCUAAGAGUGGGAACCUCUUCAAUUGGCUUUGUGACAUGUCCUGAGCAACCUGCUCUAGGUGUCCCUGCUUGAGCAGACGGGUGGAUCAGAUGACCUCCAGAGACCCCAUGUCAGAGCUGGAGCCGGCCCUUCACAUGAACAGCCAAACCAGACUUCAGUUCCAGGUGAGAGCACUUCUUGCUACUUUGCUCUGUUGAUUAGUUCUUUGUCUGA
rnacentral:lncRNA from 1 species